UCCGGUUCACUUUAACACUGAGGCGUGAUGACGAGGCACUACGGUGCUGAAGCAACAAAUGCCCUGCUUCCAGGAAAAGCCUCUAAGCAUCAGGUAACAUCAAAUCGUACCCCAAACCGACACAGGUGGUCAGGUAGAGAAUACCAAGGCGCUUGAGAGAACUCGGGUGAAGGAACUAGGCAAAAUGGUGCCGUAACUUCGGGAGAAGGCACGCUGACACGUAGGUGAAGUGAUUUACUCAUGGAGCUGAAGUCAGUCGAAGAUACCAGCUGGCUGCAACUGUUUAUUAAAAACACAGCACUGUGCAAACACGAAAGUGGACGUAUACGGUGUGACGCCUGCCCGGUGCCGGAAGGUUAAUUGAUGGGGUCAGCGCAAGCGAAGCUCCUGAUCGAAGCCCCGGUAAACGGCGGCCGUAACUAUAACGGUCCUAAGGUAGCGAAAUUCCUUGUCGGGUAAGUUCCGACCUGCACGAAUGGCGUAAUGAUGGCCAGGCUGUCUCCACCCGAGACUCAGUGAAAUUGAACUCGCUGUGAAGAUGCAGUGUACCCGCGGCAAGACGGAAAGACCCCGUGAACCUUUACUAUAGCUUGACACUGAACAUUGAGCCUUGAUGUGUAGGAUAGGUGGGAGGCUUUGAAGUGUGGACGCCAGUCUGCAUGGAGCCGACCUUGAAAUACCACCCUUUAAUGUUUGAUGUUCUAACGUGGACCCGUGAUCCGGGUUGCGGACAGUGUCUGGUGGGUAGUUUGACUGGGGCGGUCUCCUCCUAAAGAGUAACGGAGGAGCACGAAGGUUGGCUAAUCCUGGUCGGACAUCAGGAGGUUAGUGCAAUGGCAUAAGCCAGCUUGACUGCGAGCGUGACGGCGCGAGCAGGUGCGAAAGCAGGUCAUAGUGAUCCGGUGGUUCUGAAUGGAAGGGCCAUCGCUCAACGGAUAAAAGGUACUCCGGGGAUAACAGGCUGAUACCGCCCAAGAGUUCAUAUCGACGGCGGUGUUUGGCACCUCGAUGUCGGCUCAUCACAUCCUGGGGCUGAAGUAGGUCCCAAGGGUAUGGCUGUUCGCCAUUUAAAGUGGUACGCGAGCUGGGUUUAGAACGUCGUGAGACAGUUCGGUCCCUAUCUGCCGUGGGCGCUGGAGAACUGAGGGGGGCUGCUCCUAGUACGAGAGGACCGGAGUGGACGCAUCACUGGUGUUCGGGUUGUCAUGCCAAUGGCACUGCCCGGUAGCUAAAUGCGGAAGAGAUAAGUGCUGAAAGCAUCUAAGCACGAAACUUGCCCCGAGAUGAGUUCUCCCUGAGACUUUAGGUCUCCUGAAGGAACGUUGAAGACGACGACGUUGAUAGGCCGGGUGUGUAAGCGCAGCGAUGCGUUGAGCUAACCGGUACUAAUGAACCGUGAGGCUUAACCUUACA
rnacentral:rRNA from 1 species